AGUCGAACCCAGAAGUUCGAUUUCCAGCCGUCGAACUACCGGGUAAGUGUAGCCAAGGCCUGAGAGGUGUGAUCUGCCUCAAUCAUCUCACUUGGGGCCCAGUAUGCUCCUUGAUUGUGUGGCUGUGGAAUUUGGCCUUUUUCAGGGUACCACAGAAGUCAUCAUAUUUGCUGUAGACUUCACCAUUUUGCAGCAACCAGAUCUUUGGCUUUCUGUUUUGUCUCUCUGUCCUGCUGGGACCUGUCUGCAGCUGCUUCAUGCUUUGCAUCUUUCCCCAUGAGAGGGAAUUAAAUGGAUUGCACUGCAUGCUCCUUUCACUAUUCUAUAGAACCAGGUAGGAGGGGAGGUCUGAGAGCCAGAGCUGGAGUCCAGUUUGCAGCUAGGUCCCACUCCCAGAAGUGCAGGCUGGGCAGCUAGGAAACUGAGAGUGUCAUCCAAGGCCUGGGGAACUGAGAUGAACCGCUGAAGCUGACUGGCAUGCAUGAGACAGGCAAAGGAGAUUCUAAGCUAGAUCAUCCUGACAGCAUCGUUACUGCUGGAGAUCUACUGGGCCACCUAGAGGACACAUUGAAAAAACAUAAUCAAAUACUAUCAUUCCUGAAAAUCAUCGACGAAUUGUAAAUCAGUGAGUAUUUUCAACUGAAUCGGAUGUGUGUUGUUGGGUAUGGGAGAAAUGGGAUUGAAAGGGGUUUUAAUGGAGGUACAAUAAAUUAACAUUGCUGCAGGAUUUGGUCAAGGGUUGCUGUAUAAUAUGCAGUGAUGUGCAUAUGAUUCUGUACUGCAGCAACUAGCUAGUUACAUGAAAGCCAUUUGGCUUGCACGGGAAAUCAAAUUUCUGCUCCUUUUUUUGUUGACCAAGACAGGUUGAUAUAAAAGGCCAAAAAAACUAAAAUGAUUACUGUAAAGUUGGGUCAUUAGUUAUAUACCAUUAAUUUUGUCACUGUUCGUUUGAAGUCAGAAAAAGCACCAUAACUCAAAUUUAAACUCCCAAUGCUGUGAAUCUUCUGAAGAUUAAAAACACAGUAUUGGAACAGUUCAGUUAAACCUAAUUUAAGUGCCUCUAACCUUGUUCUAGAUAAUUUUAAAAAGGGAAGGUAUUUAUAUAGUGUGUACUGUGCUCUAUUUUAAAACACCUGGUCAUAGGUACAUGUGUACACACAUGCUAUAGCCCAGAUUUGGAGGGGGAGGGAAUUAGAAAUAAUGUUGAAAUUGUUCAGACGUAGCGAUUUCAUAUAAAGAUUUUUGAUAAAUUAUCUGUCGUCUUAAAAUGGGUACAUGGAGACUGCUUUGAAAUUGUGUUAAAAUGUCUUUUGAAAAUACAAUAGAAAAUGUAGCUUAAUGAAGUUCCAAUAUGCAUUUGUGAACAACUGCAAAUAACUAUCUAACAUUGGGUUUUUUCACUUUUGUUCCAUAGUUUGCAAAAAGUAAGUGGUCAGGCAAAAGACUGCAGUAUUUUUUAUUUUCUGUUGUGAUGUACAGACUUUAUUUAACAAUGCUACAUAUUUUAUAGAAAACUAGUUAUCUCAAGGGACAUUUCUUUUUUAAAAUAAAGUCAUUACUUUUGUUCAUUAAAGCCUUUAAGUAUUAAUAUGUAUUCUGGUUGAACAAUUCAUGGGUGUGUCAAGUAUAAUUUUAACUUAUUUGAAGACAGCGGUAGACAGUAGUGUGCCACAAUUCUUAUGAAAAAAGGGCUUAAAUUUUUUUUCCGUCCAUUGCCAAGAAAGAUAUAAAAUGAGGCUGAAGUUGUUAAGCAUGUCUUUGUGCAUUAGUUUGCAUAGUACUCCUGGGGGAAUUCUGUGCCAAAAAUUAAAAAUUCUGCACACAGUAUUUUAAAGUUCUGCAAAAUUCUGCAUAUUUUAUUUGUUAAUAUAACACAAUAUAAUCACGCCGGUUUCAAUUAUUUUGGUAAUUUAUUUAAACUACAAUACAAUGGAUGGAGAAUGGGAGUGGGGAGCAUUGGAGGAAAUCCCCAAGCCCCCUCUGUCUAGUAGUAAUGUAGCUAGUAUUGACCCUUUACUUCUAGUUAUUAAUCAACAAAUAUAUGCAGCCAUAUGCUCAGUGUUACAUCAUAGGCAAUUGAAGAGCAAGUGAGGGCUCAGACUCACAAUUUAUAUUGGCUACUGACCAUCUCCAGGAAGGUCAGUAGAAAACAGUUCAUGGAGCUCAUUUUGAUAGGAAAAUUUUUCAGUCAAAAAAUUUAAUUAGUUCUAAUCACUAAAGCAUCAUAAGGAUUUAUAAGGCUAAUACAAUAAGGCUUAUUUACACCACUUUGGGAAUAUAAAGGAGCCUUAAAUUUUUUACACCUGUUUUAUACUCCUGGGGAAUUUACUAAGAACAAUGGGAACAAUUCACUAAGCAGGCAGGCUGCUACAUUCUACUCUGCCUGUGGGGACAGAGCCUGCUGCACAUCUACCUUCUCAGAAACACCCCAAAGCCUUGCCCCUUCAUGCCGAGCAUUCCACAAUAGCAAGCAAGAGGGACAGAGUGUCUCUUUCUCUCUCACACAUGACUGCCCAGCCCUCCCGCCCCGGGUGUGAUUUACGUCUCUACCAGCAGCUCUGGGCACUCAAACUAACCUGCUUGCACUGCUGGGGAGGGGUGUGUGACCGCUCUUGCGGCUUCCCUUUGCUUCCCCAUCAGAAGUCAUUUUUCUGAUGGGAAGCAAAGAAAUCUGCAGGGGCCAUGAAUUCUGCGCAUGCACAGUAACGCAGAAUUCCCCCAAGAGUAGCACAGGUAGUUGGAAAAUAUUUGGCAUGAGUAAUAAAAUCAAUAAUUUAGAAUAAACUGCUUCCACCCACCCAUUGCCCUGGGUUUUUAACAAUAAAAAGAAAAAUGUUU